GGGUGACAGCCCCGUACACAAAAGCGCAUGUGCUGUGAGCUCGAUGAGUAGGGCGGGACACGUGGUAUCCUGUCUGAAUAUGGGGGGACCAUCCUCCAAGGCUAAAUACUCCUGACUGACCGAUAGUGAACCAGUACCGUGAGGGAAAGGCGAAAAGAACCCCGGCGAGGGGAGUGAAAAAGAACCUGAAACCGUGUACGUACAAGCAGUGGGAGCACAGGUUUACCUGUGUGACUGCGUACCUUUUGUAUAAUGGGUCAGCGACUUAUAUUCUGUAGCAAGGUUAACCGUAUAGGGGAGCCGUAGGGAAACCGAGUCUUAACCGGGCGUUAAGUUGCAGGGUAUAGACCCGAAACCCGGUGAUCUAGCCAUGGGCAGGUUGAAGGUUGGGUAACACUAACUGGAGGACCGAACCGACUAAUGUUGAAAAAUUAGCGGAUGACCUGUGGCUGGGGGUGAAAGGCCAAUCAAACCGGGAGAUAGCUGGUUCUCCCCGAAAGCUAUUUAGGUAGCGCCUCGUGAAUUCAUCUCCGGGGGUAGAGCACUGUUUCGGCUAGGGGGCCAUCCCGGCUUACCAACCCGAUGCAAACUGCGAAUACCGGAGAAUGUUAUCACGGGAGACACACGGCGGGUGCUAACGUCCGUCGUGAAGAGGGAAACAACCCAGACCGCCAGCUAAGGUCCCAAAGUCAUGGUUAAGUGGGAAACGAUGUGGGAAGGCCCAGACAGCCAGGAUGUUGGCUUAGAAGCAGCCAUCAUUUAAAGAAAGCGUAAUAGCUCACUGGUCGAGUCGGCCUGCGCGGAAGAUGUAACGGGGCUAAACCAUGCACCGAAGCUGCGGCAGCGAACGUAUCACCCAAGACAACUUUACGGAGUUGACGAUUGACGGAGCGAAGCGACGUCAAAGCGUUCAUUAAAGUCGAGUUGGCUUAGGGAUACGUUCGUUGGGUAGGGGAGCGUUCUGUAAGCCUGUGAAGGUGUGUCGUGAGGCAUGCUGGAGGUAUCAGAAGUGCGAAUGCUGACAUAAGUAACGAUAAAGCGGGUGAAAAGCCCGCUCGCCGGAAGACCAAGGGUUCCUGUCCAACGUUAAUCGGGGCAGGGUGAGUCGACCCCUAAGGCGAGGCCGAAAGGCGUAGUCGAUGGGAAACGGGUUAAUAUUCCCGUACUUGGUGUUACUGCGAAGGGGGGACGGAGAAGGCUAUGUUGGCCGGGCGACGGUUGUCCCGGUUUAAGCGUGUAGGUGUGUGUUCCAGGUAAAUCCGGUU
rnacentral:rRNA from 2 species